rnacentral:rRNA from 1 species
CUACGGGUUGCAGCAGUGGGGAAUAUUGGACAAUGGGGGAAACCCUGAUCCAGCAAUGCCGCGUGUGUGAAGAAGGCCUGCGGGUUGUAAAGCACUUUCGGUUGGGAGGACUGCUUCUAGCACUAAUAUUGUUGGAAGUUGACGUUACCUUCAGAAGAAGCACCGGCUAGCUCCGUGCCAGCAGCCGCGGUAAUACGGAGGGUGCAAGCGUUAAUCGGAAUUACUGGGCGUAAAGCGCGCGGAGGCGGCUAGAUCAGUCGGGUGUGAAAGCCCCGGGCUUAACCUGGGAACUGCAUCCGAUACUGUCUAGCUUGAGUACAGGAGAGGAGAGUGGAAUUCCACAUGUAGCGGUGAAAUGCGUAGAUAUGUGGAGGAACACCAAUGGCGAAGGCAGCUCUCUGGCCUGAUACUGACGCUGAGGCGCGAAAGCGUGGGGAGCAAACAGGAUUAGAUACCCCCGUAGUC